GAGCUCCCGAACGCUAUUGAUGGAUUUGAACAAGAGAAAUCGCAAUAUGCUCAGCAAGCCAAUCGGCUUCACAAGAAUAUCCAACCGAUUUCUGGAUCUGCUAACGCCGAUCUCAAGAAGAUAAAGCAAGCCGAUGAGAUUCGUUUGCGUGCGAUAGAUACAAUCCGUAGCCUUAGUUUUAAAAACUCCAUUGUGUUAUGCCCAUCGAGGC
rnacentral:lncRNA from 1 species